AUACUCUGGUUUCUCUUCAGAUCACAUAAAUCUUUCGCCUUUUAAUAAGAUUCAGUCAAAGAUUUCAGUAACGUGGUCAUUCUAUUGAAUCCUAAACUGGGGUAAUUUUUGGUAAUUACUCAGUAAUU
rnacentral:snRNA from 1 species